AGAGUUUGAUCCUGGCUCAGGACGAACGCUGGCGGCGUGCUUAACACAUGCAAGUCGAGCGAUGAAGCUUCCUUCGGGAAGUGGAUUAGCGGCGGACGGGUGAGUAACACGUGGGUAACCUGCCUCAAAGUGGGGGAUAACCUUCCGAAAGGAAGAUUAAUACCGCAUAAUAUAGGAGAAUCGCAUGAUUUUCUUAUCAAAGAUUUAUUGCUUUGAGAUGGACCCGCGGCGCAUUAGCUAGUUGGUAAGGUAACGGCUUACCAAGGCAACGAUGCGUAGCCGACCUGAGAGGGUGAUCGGCCACAUUGGAACUGAGACACGGUCCAGACUCCUACGGGAGGCAGCAGUGGGGAAUAUUGCGCAAUGGGGGAAACCCUGACGCAGCAACGCCGCGUGGGUGAUGAAGGUCUUCGGAUUGUAAAGCCCUGUUUUCUAGGACGAUAAUGACGGUACUAGAGGAGGAAGCCACGGCUAACUACGUGCCAGCAGCCGCGGUAAUACGUAGGUGGCGAGCGUUGUCCGGAUUUACUGGGCGUAAAGGGUGCGUAGGCGGAUGUUUAAGUGGGAUGUGAAAUCCCCGGGCUUAACCUGGGGGCUGCAUUCCAAACUGGAUAUCUAGAGUGCAGGAGAGGAAAGCGGAAUUCCUAGUGUAGCGGUGAAAUGCGUAGAGAUUAGGAAGAACACCAGUGGCGAAGGCGGCUUUCUGGACUGUAACUGACGCUGAGGCACGAAAGCGUGGGUAGCAAACAGGAUUAGAUACCCUGGUAGUCCACGCCGUAAACGAUGGAUACUAGGUGUAGGGGGUAUCAACUCCCCCUGUGCCGCAGUUAACACAAUAAGUAUCCCGCCUGGGGAGUAC
rnacentral:rRNA from 1 species